rnacentral:rRNA from 1 species
GAUGAACGCUGGCGGCGUGCCUAAUACAUGCAAGUCGAACGCAGUUUCGCACGGGUGAGAAACACGUAGGUAACCGCCUCAUUGCGGGGGAUAACUAACGGAAACGAUAGCUAAUACCGCAAACUGUGACAUGGACCUGCGUGGUUUUAGCUAGUUGGUGAGGUAAAGGCUCACCAAGGCGACGAUACAUAGCCGACGUGGGAGGGUGGUCGGCCAAACUGGGACUGAGGAACGGCCCAGACUUCUACGGGAGGUAACAGGUGGGAAUCAUCGGCAAAGGGCGGAAGUCUGGCCGAGCAACGGCGGGGGAGUGGAGAAGGUUUUCGGAUCGUAAAGCUCUGUUGUUAGAGGAGCGGUAACUAAACAGAAAGCAACGGCUAACUACGUGCCAGCAGCCGCGGUAAUAC